rnacentral:rRNA from 2 species
UAAGCGGAGGAAAAGAAACCAACAGGGAUUGCCUUAGUAGCGGCGAGUGAAGCGGCAAAAGCUCAAAUUUGAAAUCUGGCACCUUCGGUGUCCGAGUUGUAAUUUGAAGAUUGUAACCUUGGGGUUGGCUCUUGUCUAUGUUUCUUGGAACAGGACGUCACAGAGGGUGAGAAUCCCGUGCGAUGAGAUGCCCAAUCCUAUGUAAGGUGCUUUCGAAGAGUCGAGUUGUUUGGGAAUGCAGCUCUAAGUGGGUGGUAAAUUCCAUCUAAAGCUAAAUAUUGGCGAGAGACCGAUAGCGAACAAGUACAGUGAUGGAAAGAUGAAAAGAACUUUGAAAAGAGAGUGAAAAAGUACGUGAAAUUGUUGAAAGGGAAGGGUUUGAGAUCAGACUCGAUAUUUUGUGAGCCUUGCCUUCGUGGCGGGGUGACCCGCAGCUUAUCGGGCCAGCAUCGGUUUGGGCGGUAGGAUAAUGGCGUAGGAAUGUGACUUUGCUUCGGUGAAGUGUUAUAGCCUGCGUUGAUGCUGCCUGCCUAGACCGAGGACUGCGAUUUUAUCAAGGAUGCUGGCAUAAUGAUCCCAAACCGCCCGUCUUGAA